GACGAACGCUGGCGGCACGCCUAACACAUGCAAGUCGAACGCCCUCUUCGGAGGGAGUGGCGGACGGGUGAGUAACGCGUGGGAACCUGCCCCGUGGUGGGGGAAAACCCAGGGAAACUUGGGUUAAAUACCGCAUGAGCCCGGACCCUUUGGUGGGGUUUGGGGAAAGAUUUAUCGCCAUGGGAUGGGCCCGCGUCGGAUUAGCUAGUUGGUGGGGUAACGGCCUACCAAGGCUACGAUCCGUAGCUGGUCUGAGAGGACGANCAGCCACACUGGGACUGAGACACGGCCCAGACUCCUACGGGAGGCAGCAGUGGGGAAUCUUGGACAAUGGGGGCAACCCUGAUCCAGCGAUGCCGCGUGAGCGAAGAAGGCCUUAGGGUUGUAAAGCUCUUUCGCCCACGACGAUGAUGACGGUAGUGGGAAGAAGAAGCCCCGGCUAACUCCGUGCCAG
rnacentral:rRNA from 1 species